rnacentral:rRNA from 1 species
AAGAAGGCCUUCGGGUUGUAAAGCUCUUUCGCAAGGGAAGAAAAGAUAUAGGUGAAUAGCUUAUGUUGAUGACGGUACCUUGACAAGAAGCACCGGCUAACUACGUGCCAGCAGCCGCGGUAAUACGUAGGGUGCGAGCGUUGUCCGGAAUUACUGGGCGUAAAGAGUUCGUAGGCGGUUUGUCGCGUCGUUUGUGAAAACCCGGGGCUCAACUUCGGGCUUGCAGGCGAUACGGGCAGACUUGAGUGUUUCAGGGGAGACUGGAAUUCCUGGUGUAGCGGUGAAAUGCGCAGAUAUCAGGAGGAACACCGGUGGCGAAGGCGGGUCUCUGGGAAACAACUGACGCUGAGGAACGAAAGCGUGGGUAGCAAACAGGAUUAGAUACCCUGG